GCAUUGAAAAUGCCGGAAGGUUAUGUUUUGAUCGCCAUGUAUUUAUUUAUUUAUUUGUAUGCGUGUUAUUCGCAAAUCUCAAAAAGUAUUGAACCGAAUCGCAUGAAAUUUGGUGGGAUGAUUGUUUAUUAUCCGGGGACCAGUUGAUUAGAUUUUGGGAUCGAUCGGGUCAAAGGUCAUGAACAGGUCAAAAUCUUUCGCAGAACUCAAAAAGUAUUGAACCGAAUCGCAUGAAAUUUGGUGGGAUGAUUGUUUAUUAUCCGGGGACCAGUUGACUAGAUUUUGGGAUCGAUCGGGUCAAAGGUCAAGGGUCAUGAACAGGUCAAAAUGUUCUUGAAUCGCAUGAAAUUUGGUGGGAUGAUUGGUUAUUAUCCGGGGACCAUUUGAUUAGAUUUUGGGAUCAAUCGGGUCAAAGGUCAAGGUCAUGGAAAGGUCACUCCUUUUUUUACCAUAGCACGAUACAUUUUGUCCAAUUGGCAUGCAACUAAUGCCAAAAUGUUCAUAAUUCAAUGCCCAAUCUUGUGAUAUGCGAAGGUAUACGCUCUACCGAGUGCCCAUUCUAGUUUAUAUCUAUAAUUGACAGCAUGAUUAACCAGCUCAGAAAUUCUAAAUAAUGUUAUCUUUUUACUUUGUGGUUAUUGUCAUGCGCAGUCCAGGUUGUCGCAACGAGAGAGGACCCAAACGCCGACAUUAUUGCACAAAAACAAUCUUUACUCCAAGAAACCAGAACAGGACGACAAAACACACGGACCAAACAGUACAAAGCCACACUGGGAAUGAGACGAACAGGGUUUACAUACACAGGCAAGGUGAGAGGAUUGGACAACGGGGAACGAGACACAGGUGGACACAAUGAGGGCGGGGCCAGCAAUCACAGAAGGAAACAAUCAGGGCCAGGGCAGACAAUCACAGGGAGACAGACGACACAAGGACUUCCAAACAAGACACAAAACUAACACAAACUCCAGAUCAUGACAGUUAUUUGCAUUACAGUUUUUCUCCAUUGCUUUGGCUCAAUUCUUGAAACAGAAAUUACAUUCUCAAAGCUCUUAGUGCAUUUGGUAAAAUAGCAUAUAUGGUUCAGCACAACUACAUAGAUCACCUUCAAAAGGUCAUAUCUCACCCAAAACAUUUAACUCAAGCUUCAAACUCAAAUCAUUUUCUCAUAAAAAUAGUCAGUGCCCCCAAAAUGAAAACUUCCUUCUCAAUUGCUGUGGCUCAUCUCUCUCUCGAAAAAAAGGACAUUCUCAAAGCUAUAAAUACAUUUGCCAAAAUAACCUAGAUGGUUUAGGAAAACACUUUGGCACACCUGCAAAAGGUCAUAUCUCUCCCAAAACAGACAACUCAUCAGUCAAAACUAAUUCCUUUUCUCAUACAAAUAGUCAGUGCCCCCAAAAUCAAAAGUCCCUUCGUCAUUGUUUAAACACUGCAGGUCAAAAUGUUUAGAUGUUUUGUCAGUAUGGCAGUGGACCAUAGAAAUAUCCCUCAUGUGCACAAUUCAAUCUUGGCUUAGUCCUUUGACACUGAAUGGUUACUGUAGGAGAUGUUUUCUUUCCAGAAUACUAUGUGUAUCAAACAGAAAAAAGAUUCAUUCAAGAGGAGCCAACAAGGUUUCACAUCACAUACUGUAUUGCACUUAUACUGCCGUGGAAAUUGUUACAGUAAUUGCAAAACAGAAACAGAAAAUGUGUACAGCAAAAAAUAGUGUCAAACAAAAAGCACAUACAAAAUAAAAUUAAGUAUAGCCUACACGACUGUAACAAAACAUAUAGUAGGAAAGUAAAUCAAAGCUGGAGUUCAAAGCUGGAGUUCAUCCUCACUCUCCUGCUCAACAUCGCAUCUGAUGUUCUCCCUUGCGAUGCAACGGGGGAAGAAUCGGCGUGCAUGACCCAACCAUCCCCUGCACCGAUCUGCUGUGACAUCGGCACAAGCAGCAUCCAUUGCCUGGAGAAGGGACCUCUGGUUUAGAGCCCGAUGCUCAUACACCCUCCACCACCACGCACCCUUGCUCCUCUUCCUCUUCUUCUUCCUCCUCUUCCUCGAACAGGCAGUUGCCCUUGUUCGUUUACCUGGCCAGGUGCUUCCAUGUUCAUACUGUAAACUGGACUGAACUUUGUCAAGCCCUAGAUAUUUGAUGGAAGCAUUUAUACUCCUGGAUAGCACCUGUCAGCUAACUAAAAUGACUGUGUGAUUGGUGAUCGGAUGUGAGAAACUCUCCCUUGAUUAGUAAAGUUCUAGUUGAACCUGGAAAUGAAGCCGAUGAUCCAAGAGAUCCAUAUAACAGAAUAUACCAUGAUGUUUUUCAUGGUAUUAUGUGCCUGAACGAUUUUGACAGUGGAGUGAACUAUUGUGCAGGUGAUGAUGUAAACAAGGAAAUUAUGCCAAGAAGUUUUGCAGAGAACAACCACUUGACUGAGAAGCAACCGUCGGUUUAGACCAGCAAGAUGUAUUCAAUUGGUAAUUGGGCUAACUGAAGGCAAUUGUACCUCCAUUUGCACAGAUGUGCUAAAUCAUUUGAAAUGUGUGCAAGCUGUCGGCAAUUGUACUUGUCAUUUGCAAGGAGUUUCUAAAACAAUUGCAAUUUGAUGAAAGGAAUGAGAAAUUCAAAUCUGUUGUGAACAAGUGCCCAGUGGUUUGGAGGUUUGCACGAGUUGUUUUGAGAAUGUCAUUUCUGUUUCAAGAAUUGAGCCAAAGCAAUGGAGAAAAACUGUAAAAAAAUACAUUAUUGUAUUUUUAUUUAAAUUUGCUUUGAUUAAAAGAACAAACAUCAUGGC